rnacentral:rRNA from 1 species
AGCGAACGCUGGCGGCAUGCCUAACACAUGCAAGUCGAACGAGAUCUUCGGGUCUAGUGGCGCACGGGUGCGUAACGCGUGGGAAUCUGCCCUUUGGUUCGGAAUAACAGUUGGAAACGACUGCUAAUACCGGAUGAUGACGAAAGUCCAAAGAUUUAUCGCCAGAGGAUGAGCCCGCGUAGGAUUAGCUAGUUGGUGUGGUAAAGGUGCACCAAGGCGACGAUCCUUAGCUGGUCUGAGAGGAUGAUCAGCCACACUGGGACUGAGACACGGCCCAGACUCCUACGGGAGGCAGCAGUGGGGAAUAUUGGACAAUGGGCGAAAGCCUGAUCCAGCAAUGCCGCGUGAGUGAUGAAGGCCUUAGGGUUGUAAAGCUCUUUUACCCGGGAUGAUAAUGACAGUACCGGGAGAAUAAGCUCCGGCUAACUCCGUGCCAGCCGCCGCCGUAA